rnacentral:rRNA from 1 species
CAGCUGUAAACGAUGCGCGUUAGGUGUGUCAGUGACCACGUGUCACUGAGGUGCCGAAGGGAAACCGUGAAACGCGCCGCCUGGGGAGUACGGUCGCAAGGCUGAAACUUAAAGGAUUGGCGGGGGAGCACCACAACGGGUGGAGCCUGCGGUUUAAUCGGACUCAACGCCGGAAAUCUCACCGGAUAAGACAGCUGAAUGAUAGUCGGGAUGAAGACUCUACUUGACUAGCUGAGAGGAGGUGCAUGGCGUGUGACUGU